CUUUAUUCAUUGUAUAUUUGUUAUAAUGGGUAUUGUAUGUUAAAACCUUAAUUUAUUAAGUUUAAAUGUGUUUAGUUUGUUUUAUUUAUAUUUCUUACCUUGUGUUUGGCCAAUUGGAUGUCCAGGGCAGAGGUCAAGGGUAGGAGCUAAGAGAAAGAGAAGGAAGAGGGGGUGUGAGAAAGAACGGGACAGCGUGAGCACUAUGGGUUGCCAGCUAGGAUUCAUUCAGACCAGGGGCGGGAUUUUGAAAGCAGGUUGAUUAAAGAGCUCCUGAGUCUGCUGGGUAUACGGAAAUCUCGCACUACUCCGUAUCAUCCUCAGGGUGACCCCCAACCCGAGCGUUUUAAUCACACCCUACUUUCUAUGUUGGGAACGUUGGGACAGGAGAAAAGACGGCAAUGGAGUAAACAUGUAGGUCAUGUAGUACACGCUUAUAAUAGCACUAAGUCUGAUGCUACGGGAUUUUCUCCUUAUUAUCUAAUGUUCGGGAGGGAAGCGAGACUUCCUGUUGAUGUGUGUUUCCCCAUUUCCUCUGAUGGGCAGGAGGAAAGACAGCACACACAGUAUGUGACAAAACUGAAAUGUGAUCUGAAGGAAGCAUAUCAGUUGGCAUCGAGCGCAGCUGAUAAAGUGCACCAACGUAAUAAAAAGGCUUACAAUAGUAAGGUGAGGUUUCAGAAGCUAGCCGUGGGUGAUCGAGUGUUGCUCCGAAAUCUCGGGUUGAGGGGUAAGCACAAACUCCAGAGCCGCUGGAGUUCUAUACCCCAUGUUGUAGUAGGGAAAAUGCCUCACUUACCUGUUUACCAGGUGAAAUUGGAGAAGGGCCAGGGAGGAGUGAGGUCUCUCCAUGGUGAUAACAUCCUACCCAUUGGCCAAUGGGUAAGGAUGCCGGAAAGUACCGUUGAUGUUGAACCACUAAAAGGGGUGAAAACACGGUCACAAUCAGAAAAAAGACACAACAGAACACAAAGGCAAAGGGAAUCUUUACCUGAAUUGUCAGAGUCUUCUUCUGAAACAGAGGGUGAAAGACCCAACCGCCGCUUUAGGGCCUGCAUUGAUCAGUUAUUGCAGAAUAGGAUGUCACCAGAAAGAUCUUUUACCUUAAGUCCAGAAGAACUGGAUGAUCAAAGCCUAGAUGAUAAUGAUCUAAGUGUGGAAGAAGAUCAAAUCUCUCUAGAUUGUCCUGAUGGGGAAAUGGGGGACAGUAGCUCUGAAGCGAUGUCAGAAAUGGAUGAAGCUGAUCAUGUUGUCAUUCAUGAUGAAAGACAAAGAUCAAAAGAAAAACCAGC
rnacentral:lncRNA from 1 species